GGAUAACACUUGGAAACAGGUGCUAAUACCGUAUAACACUAUUUUCCGCAUGGAAGAAAGUUGAAAGGCGCUUUUGCGCCACUGAUGGAUGGACCCGCGGUGCAUUAGCUAGUUGGUGAGGUAACGGCUCACCAAGGCCACGAUGCAUAGCCGACCUGAGAGGGUGAUCGGCCACACUGGGACUGAGACACGGCCCAGACUCCUACGGGAGGCAGCAGUAGGGAAUCUUCGGCAAUGGACGAAAGUCUGACCGAGCAACGCCGCGUGAGUGAAGAAGGUUUUCGGAUCGUAAAACUCUGUUGUUAGAGAAGAACAAGGAUGAGAGUAAAACGUUCAUCCCUUGACGGUAUCUAACCAGAAAGCCACGGCUAACUACGUGCCAGCAGCCGCGGUAAUACGUAGGUGGCAAGCGUUGUCCGGAUUUAUUGGGCGUAAAGCGAGCGCAGGCGGUUUCUUAAGUCUGAUGUGAAAGCCCCCGGCUCAACCGGGGAGGGUCAUUGGAAACUGGGAGACUUGAGUGCAGAAGAGGAGAGUGGAAUUCCAUGUGUAGCGGUGAAAUGCGUAGAUAUAUGGAGGAACACCAGUGGCGAAGGCGGCUCUCUGGUCUGUAACUGACGCUGAGGCUCGAAAGCGUGGGGAGCGAACAGGAUUAGAUACCCUGGUAGUCCACGCCGUAAACGAUGAGUGCUAAGUGUUGGAGGGUUUCCGCCCUUCAGUGCUGCA
rnacentral:rRNA from 1 species